rnacentral:tRNA from 1 species
GGUGGGGUUCCCGAGCGGCCAAAGGGAGCAGACUGUAAAUCUGCCGUCAUCGACUUCGAAGGUUUCCUUCCCCCACCACCA